rnacentral:miRNA from 1 species
CAGGGCAGCUUUCCUACUGUUUCCCCUCUAAUCUCAGUGAGCCAUGUGGUGAGGUGGAAUUA